GAUGAACGCUGGCGGCGUGCCUAAUACAUGCAAGUCGAGCGAACGGACGAGAAGCUUGCUUCUCUGAUGUUAGCGGCGGACGGGUGAGUAACACGUGGAUAACCUACCUAUAAGACUGGGAUAACUUCGGGAAACCGGAGCUAAUACCGGAUGAUAUUUUGAACCGCAUGGUUCAAAAGUGAAAGACGGUCUUGCUGUCACUUAUAGAUGGAUCCGCGCUGCAUUAGCUAGUUGGUAAGGUAACGGCUUACCAAGGCAACGAUGCAUAGCCGACCUGAGAGGGUGAUCGGCAACACUGGAACUGAGACAGGGUCCAGACUCCUACGGGAGGCAGCAGUAGGGAAUCUUCCGCAAGGGGCGAAAGCCUGACGGAGCAACGCCGCGGGAGUGAUGAAGGUCUUCGGAUCGUAAAACUCUGUUAUUAGGGAAGAACAUAUGUGUAAGUAACUGUGCACAUCUUGACGGUACCUAAUCAGAAAGCCACGGCUAACUACGU
rnacentral:rRNA from 1 species